GACGAACGCUGGCGGCGUGCCUAAUACAUGCAAGUCGAACGAACCGCGACUAGGUGCUUGCACUUGGUCAAGGUGAGUGGCGAACGGGUGAGUAACACGUGGGUAACCUACCUCAUAGUGGGGGAUAACAGUCGGAAACGACUGCUAAUACCGCAUAGGACAUAGGAUCACAUGAUCCAGUGAGGAAAGGUGGCGCAAGCUAUCGCUAAGAGGUGGACCCGCGGUGCAUUAGCUAGUUGGUAGGGUAAAGGCCUACCAAGGCGAUGAUGCAUAGCCGACCUGAUAGGGUGAUCGGCCACAUUGGGACUGAGACACGGCCCAAACUCCUACGGGAGGCAGCAGUAGGGAAUCUUCCGCAAUGGACGCAAGUCUGACGGAGCAACGCCGCGUGAGUGAAGAAGGUCUUCGGAUCGUAAAGCUCUGUUGUUAGAGAAGAACAGCGCAUAGAGUAACUGUUAUGCGUGUGACGGUAUCUAACCAGAAAGCCACGGCUAACUACGUG
rnacentral:rRNA from 1 species